UUUCAUCCUGCAGACAUAGAAAGGUUAUGUUGCAGAAUUUUCGUUAUCUAGAAGUUCAGAAUACUAAACUUGGCCAAACUAUAUCAAGCGGAUAUUCCAAAUUUGGAAAUUUUUGACAGUACAAUAGAACGGUUUUCUGAAUAUGAAAGGGGGUCAGAGGUGUUAUGAGUUCAAUUUUGGAUGAUUUCAACUAAUGAAAUUUAAGACACAUGUGGAUAUGGCAGUACCAUGUUACCUACAAAUGAUAAUAAUAACUAGAUAGUAGGAAUUGGGGAGAAGCAAAGAACAUUAAUACACUUGUAGAAUGUGUAAUGCUCGUACUUCAGGUGUUCUUGUGCUACUGUGAGAUUACUUUGUUUAUACCUGAAUUGUAUUAGAAGCUGCAGUACAAUUUAAGAAUGCAUUUUUGGUACAAAAAGAAAUGAUGUAGGGGCAAUCCUGAAAGUUAGACUUGGAGUUAUCUGUCGACAUAGCCGUAUGAUGACUACAAAUAUAUUUUUAUUCAGCAGUAACAGGGCAUAAAGGAGCACGAUGAGAUGGGAUCAGACGGACUGAUGCCGGCCAUGUGGAUAGUUCAGCAGAAUUCACUAAAUGGUGCUGAUCAUUCCUGUGGUAGGAGUACAUGACAAAAAAUUGAGAAGUCUAAAGCAAUAUCUUGACUAACAGUGAUGUACCUUGGAAAAUGCAGAGUGUCUAUUGGCUGGCCUAAAACAGAGAGGAAGAACAGAUCCAUCUACGUUAACAAGGACGCAGUGAAAUCACAGGCGGCCAAAGAAGAACCAUUCUUCACAUAGAUCUCAAGAAACCAGGUACCAGGAUGGUUCAGAAGAGAAUGCAAGGUAAAAACACCAGCUGCAAGCAUACCUGCUCGACUCCUCUAGUUGCAGAGCUCCUCCCCUCGAGGCCUCCAGCCAUUACCGGGAGAGAAGAUCAAACAGAAGAAACUGAGGAGUGAGGACAACACCCUAGGGUCAAGUUCAAACCUCCUUUGAUCAACAGUGGGAGAAAGGAAAAGAUGGCCGUGGAGUGACAGAAAGCAAGCACGCGAGAAAGAAGAGAGAGCUUGAGGAGGGACUGAAGAAUGAAGGCGAGCUGCGCAGGUCAGGGACCCGGAAAAAGAAAGCAGUGGCGAUUGUAACCGAGCGUGGCUAAAAGAUGAUGUGGGAAGAGACCCAGCGGAAGCACCGGCCACCGAGCCUGGUGUGUGCUUUGUUCGACAAACGUAGACAGACACAGGCACUGGGGGAAAAGUAAAGGCUUCCUGGUACUCUCUUCUGCCGCGGCAGCAGCGCGGUUGCAGAGGUAAAUCUUAUUCAUUUCUCCCUGUUGAUUCCAGCACGCUCUGUUACCUAAUUAUUAUGUGUCCUGUGUGUAUAGUAAUGUACUAUGCUGGUAUUGCAGAACCUGUUUGCAUGUACUCCCUCUGAUCCAAUUUUAGACAAAUCUAAGAUAACUUUCAUGAAAGGGAGGGAGUAUAGUACAUUUACCAUGCCACCAAUAUGGGCCUUGAACUUUCUCUAUUGGUCUGCUGGGGUGAGAGGAAGUGGUUGUAUUUGUGUAUGAUUUGCGCAAGGCACACCCAUUUUUGUAGCAUGUAAGUGCUUCCGUGAUC